AUUGAACGCUGGCGGCAUGCCUUACACAUGCAAGUCGAACGGUAACAGGUCUUCGGAUGCUGACGAGUGGCGAACGGGUGAGUAAUACAUCGGAACGUGCCCGAUCGUGGGGGAUAACGAGGCGAAAGCUUUGCUAAUACCGCAUACGAUCUACGGAUGAAAGCGGGGGAUCUUCGGACCUCUCGCGGACGGAGCGGCCGAUGGCAGAUUAGGUAGUUGGUGGGAUAAAAGCUUACCAAGCCGACGAUCUGUAGCUGGUCUGAGAGGAUGAUCAGCCACACUGGGACUGAGACACGGCCCAGACUCCUACGGGAGGCAGCAGUGGGGAAUUUUGGACAAAGGGCGAAAGCCUGAUCCAGCCAUGCCGCGUGCAGGAUGAAGGCCUUCGGGUUGUAAACUGCUUUUGUACGGAACGAAAAGCCUCUUUCUAAUAAAGAGGGGUCAUGACGGUACCGUAAGAAUAAGCACCGGCUAACUACGUG
rnacentral:rRNA from 1 species